rnacentral:rRNA from 1 species
CAGCGGUGGGGAAUAUUGCACAAUGGGCGGAAGCAUGAUGCAGCAACGCCGCGUGCGGGAUGACGUCCUUUGUGUUGUAAACCGCUUUCGCCUGUGUCGAAGCGUGAGUGACGGUAAUGGGUAAAGAAGCACCGGCUAACUACGUGCCAGCAGCCGCGGUGAUACGUAGGGUGCGAGCGUUGUCCGGAUUUAUUGGGCGUAAAGGGCUCGUAGGUGGUUGAUCGCGUCGGAAGUGUAAUCUUGGGGCUUAACCCUGAGCGUGCUUUCGAUACGGGUUGACUUGAGGAAGGUAGGGGAGAAUGGAAUUCCUGGUGGAGCGGUGGAAUGCGCAGAUAUCAGGAGGAACACCAGUGGCGAAGGCGGUUCUCUGGGCCUUUCCUGACGCUGAGGAGCGAAAGCGUGGGGAGCGAACAGGCUUAGAUACCCUGGUAGUCCACGCUGUAAACGGUGGGUACUAGGUGUGGGGUCCAUUCCACGGGUUCCGUGCCGUACCUAACGCUUUAAGUACCCCGCCUGGGGAGUACGGCCGCAAGGCUAAAACUCAUAUGAA